rnacentral:rRNA from 1 species
CGGACCGGCCGCACGGGUGAGUAACGCGUAUGUAAUCUACCUGUAACAGAGGGAUAACCCGGAGAAAUCCGGACUAAUACCUCAUAGCACAUAUUAUUCGCAUGAAUUUUAUGUUAAAGAGACUCGGUUACAGAUGAACAUGCGUUCCAUUAGCUAGUUGGCGGGGUUACGGCCCACCAAGGCAACGAUGGAUAGGGGUUCUGAGAGGAAGGUCCCCCACACUGGUACUGAGACACGGACCAG